rnacentral:pre_miRNA from 1 species
CCAGGAAGCAUCCAAAGGGAUCGCAUUGAUCCACACUCUCUCUCUCUCUCUCUCUCUCUCCAUCCAUCCGAUCGUGUUAGCGAGCUUGGAUCAUGCGAUCCUUUUGGAUCCCUCCUU